CCCUUAGAUGUUCUGGGCCGCACGCGCGCUACACUGAUUCAUGCAACAAGUUUUGUCCUUGGCUGAUAGGCCUGGGUAAUCUUUGAACGUGAAUCGUGAUGGGGAUAGAUGAUUGCAAUUAUUCAUCUUCAACGAGGAAUUCCUAGUAAACGCAAGUCAUCAACUUGCAUUGAUUACGUCCCUGCCCUUUGUACACACCGCCCGUCGCACCUACCGAUUGAAUGGUCCGGUGAAGCCUCCGGAUUGGCGCGCACCUCGGUGCCGCCGAGAAGUUGGCUAAACCUUACCAUUUAGAGGAAGGUGAAGUCGUAACA
rnacentral:rRNA from 1 species